GGAAAUAUUUUGACAGCUCGUGCAGGAGAUUCAACAAAGUGCAACAAAGUUUCUCUGUGUGUCUCUCUGUGCCAGUAGUGUCUCAAAAUUAGAUUAUUUUUCGUAACAUUUGUGUGUGUCACGCACGCUUGCCUUUGUCUUCAAAAUGAUUAAAUUUGUCGUUACAUUGUCUGUAGGAAUUUAUGCUGGAAUUUACAUCAGCCAAAAUUAUGAGGUGCCUCGUGUCGAUGAACCAAGUAAAAUAUUCGAGAGAAUAAAACAAUUUGCAGACGAUCAUAAAAAGAAAUAGAAAUAAAAAUAAAAAUGUACAGCUGAAAUUUUGAAAAUCGAUUUGUAAAUAAAUAACUAGUUUUUAAUUAUA